rnacentral:rRNA from 1 species
GAUGAACGCUAGCUACAGGCUUAACACAUGCAAGUCGCGGGGCAGCAUGGGGGUUGCUUGCAAUCCCCGAUGGCGUCCGGCGCACGGGUGAGUAACGCGUAUUCAACCUGCCCUUCACCACGGGAUAACCCGGCGAAAGUCGGACUAAUACCGUAUGUUGUCCAUUGACGGCAUCCGAUUUGGACGAAAGGCUUGGCGGUGAGGGAUGGGGAUGCGUCCGAUUAGCCAGACGGCGGGGUAACGGCCCACCGUGGCUACGAUCGGUAGGGGUUCUGAGAGGAAGGUCCCCCACACUGGAACUGAGACACGGUCCAGACUCCUACGGGAGGCAGCAGUGAGGAAUAUUGGUCAAUGGGCGUAAGCCUGAACCAGCCAAGUAGCGUGCAGGAUGACGGCCCUAUGGGUUGUAAACUGCUUUUAUGCGGGGAUAAAGUGGCCCACGUGUGGGCUUUUGCAGGUACCGCAUGAAUAAGGACCGGCUAAUUCCGUG